ensembl:lncRNA
CUGAAAUCUUUCUCUGCUUUUUGGACACAUUCAGGAUCAUCAUCAUCACUUUGGUCGUGCGGGGAAAGAGUCACCUUUCAGACCUUUCACAGUGAGCAGAGCGUCACUCCACCUUCUGCCUCUGUUCACCCCCUCGUGCAUGGAGGUGAACGCCAACAACCUUACCAACUAUGCGCUAACGGGCACAGAACCGCCUGGUGCGACACGACAGGCAGAAUAUUACAGCUGACAUGUACGACAGCGGUGCCCAGCAAAGGGAACGAAGCCUCUGUCAGCGUGUCAGUGAUGGGGGGUAAAAACGGCUGACGGUCUACAUAAUCACGCUUCAGUUCAACUCAGAAAACUUUGUGACUUGCUGGCCUGAAGUUUCCGAUAUCUGCUGCUGAUCAAUCAUCUGAAGCUCCAAAAAUGGUAUUGGUGACAUUUAGGAGACAAGCAGGAAAACAGCUGUACAAACAGCUGCCUGAUGCUUUUUAUUAUCCCAGGAUUCAGUUUUUUAAUUUCACUGCAGACUCUUCGAUGUGUUUUUUUUUUUUUUGUUUUUGCUUUUUGCUCAUGUCGUCUUCUUUUGUUUGCGUGAUGUGGACGCAGCAUUAAGUUUAGCUCCUGUAGAACAAACUCAGUGUCACCGCAGGAGGCGAUGUAGUCGUGACCUUUACUGGCUCGUCGUCGUCAGCACCAGUUUUCCAGGAUUCACUCAGACCAGCUGGGAGGACACACAUGGGUGUGAUUCCAGGAGCCUUUCUUAGAUCUAAAGUCAGAGUGUGACAGACGCCGCACUGACGUGACAUCAUCCCGGGGAUUUAGGACGCUGCAGGUUUUUGAUCUGGUCUGUCUCUGUGUUGAGCACGCUGAAGCAGGUGCAAACAGGAAGUCAGCAAACAGCAUGUGUCUGAGUAUUAUAGUCACACAGUGGGUUUCCUGCUGUUGUGCAGCCAGCAGUACGCUCUGACCGAUGAGGACUAAAUAAGGACUGAUGUGCAACGAUCGAGCUGAGCUUCAUCGUUCUGUUAAAACUGUGUCAGGUUCCCUGAGCUGCACUCUCCGCCAGGCAUCAG